GAUGAACGCUGGCGGCGUGCCUAAUACAUGCAAGUCGAGCGAACGGACGAGAAGCUUGCUUCUCUGAUGUUAGCGGCGGACGGGUGAGUAACACGUGGAUAACCUACCUAUAAGACUGGGAUAACUUCGGGAAACCGGAGCUAAUACCGGAUAAUAUUUUGAACCGCAUGGUUCAAAAGUGAAAGACGGUCUUGCUGUCACUUAUAGAUGGAUCCGCGCUGCAUUAGCUAGUUGGUAAGAUAACGGCUUACCAAGGCAACGAUGCAUAGCCGACCUGAGAGGGUGAUCGGCCACACUGGAACUGAGACACGGUCCAGACUCCUACGGGAGGAAGCAGUAGGGAAUCUUCCGCAAUGGGCGAAAGCCUGACGGAGCAACGCCGCGUGAGUGAUGAAGGUCUUCGGAUCGUAAAACUCUGUUAUUAGGGAAGAACAUAUGUGUAAGUAACUGUGCACAUCUUGACGGUACCUAAUCAGAAAGCCACGGCUAACUACGUG
rnacentral:rRNA from 1 species